GGCCGUAACCUCUAAAAUGUUGAAUCGGAUUUUGUUACCUUUCAGGAUACUUUGAAACAUUUUAACUUGUACCUACCUGCAAAUGUCUGAAACAUGGCGAGCUGUCCUUGAGCUGAGACCUUGAAAAGCUUCUUCUCGGUUCAUCAGAAUCUGGUUUGAGCAGCUCACACAGCAUCCCCUUCAUAUAGGCCCUGUGUGACGGAGGAUUUGUAUUAUUAUUUUUUUCUGUUUACAACUAAGACCCAAUUUGGAACAUGUGUUCAUACCUGAGAAAUCUGACGUUCCUUCCAUUGGAGCUCAGCGCGGUGUUACUGCCGUAGACAUCUGUGAAGAUGAGUCCUUCCACCGUCACCACCGUCCCUGCAAGAUUGGGGAUGUCACCUGGAAGCCCACUGACGGGAGUGAGGGACCGUAUGGUUGGAGUUUGGUACCAUCUUGUCUGCAGACGAUAGUGAGAUGUUACAAAAUAGAAGAUGGAACACAAAUGGGUUUAAUUGGACUUCAGGGAUGCUUACGU